UCGCCUCCUCCUCUCCC
rnacentral:miRNA from 4 species